CUACGGGGUGCAGCAGUGAGGAAUUUUGCGCAAUGGGGGUAACCCUGACGCAGCAACGCCGCGUGAGUGAUGAAGGCUUUCGGGUCGUAAAGCUCUGUCAAGUGGGAAGAAUAUACGAAAUGCUAAUACCAUUUUGUACUGACGGUACCACUGAAGGAAGCACCGGCUAACUCCGUGCCAGCAGCCGCGGUAAUACGGGGGGUGCAUGCGUUAUUCAGAAUUAUUGGGCGUAAAGAGCACGCAGGCGGCCGCUUAAGUCAGAUGUGAAAGCCCGGGGCUCAACCCCGGAAGUGCAUUUGAAACUAAGUGGCUUGAGUAUGGGAGAGGGAAGUGGAAUUCCUGGUGUAGAGGUGAAAUUCGUAGAUAUCAGGAGGAACACCGGUGGCGAAGGCGACUUCCUGGACCAAUACUGACGCUGAGGUGCGAAGGCGUGGGGAGCAAACAGGAUUAGAUACCCCGGUAGUC
rnacentral:rRNA from 1 species